AUUGAACGCUGGCGGCAUGCUUUACACAUGCAAGUCGAACGGCAGCGGGGGCUUCGGCCCGCCGGCGAGUGGCGAACGGGUGAGUAAUGCAUCGGAACGUGCCCAGUCGUGGGGGAUAACGCACCGAAAGGUGUGCUAAUACCGCAUACGUCCUGAGGGAGAAAGCGGGGGAUCGCAAGACCUCGCGCGAUUGGGGCGGCCGAUGCCGGAUUAGCUAGUUGGUGGGGUAGAGGCCUACCAAGGCGACGAUCCGUAGCUGGUCUGAGAGGAUGAUCAGCCACACUGGGACUGAGACACGGCCCAGACUCCUACGGGAGGCAGCAGUGGGGAAUUUUGGACAAUGGGGGCAACCCUGAUCCAGCCAUGCCGCGUGAGUGAAGAAGGCCUUCGGGUUGUAAAGCUCUUUCGGCCGGGAAGAAAUCGUGGUCUCUAAUAUAGGCCAUGGAUGACGGUACCGGGCUAAGAAGCACCGGCUAACUACGUGCCAGCCGCCGCGGUAACAC
rnacentral:rRNA from 1 species